rnacentral:rRNA from 1 species
UGGGGAAUAUUGCACAAUGGGCGCAAGCCUGAUGCAGCCAUGCCGCGUGUGUGAAGAAGGCCUUCGGGUUGUAAAGCACUUUCAGCGGGGAGGAAGGCGAUAAGGUUAAUAACCUUUUCGAUUGACGUUACCCGCAGAAGAAGCACCGGCUAACUCCGUGCCAGCAGCCGCGGUAAUACGGAGGGUGCAAGCGUUAAUCGGAAUUACUGGGCGUAAAGCGCACGCAGGCGGUCUGUCAAGUCGGAUGUGAAAUCCCCGGGCUUAACCUGGGAACUGCAUUCGAAACUGGCAGGCUAGAGUGUAGUAGAGGGGGGUAGAAUUCCAGGUGUAGCGGUGAAAUGCGUAGAGAUCUGGAGGAAUACCGGUGGCGAAGGCGGCCCCCUGGACAAAGACUGACGCUCAGGUGCGAAAGCGUGGGGAGCAAACAGG